rnacentral:tRNA from 1 species
GUUAAGAAGCUGAAAAGUAAAAGCGCCAGACUUUUAAUCUGGAAAUUGGUGUUUAACGUCCACCCUUUGCGA